rnacentral:tRNA from 1 species
GAGGCCUUAGCUUAUUUAAAGUGUUUGAUUUGCAUUCAUCUGAUGCGAGGUAGAGUCUCGCAGGCCUUA